GGUACAGUGAAAAGCUUUUUGUUGCGCGCUAUCCAGUCAGCAAGAAGACAAUAUAUUAUUACAAUCAAGCGAUUUACAGUGCAU